rnacentral:rRNA from 1 species
UACGUAGGUGGCAAGCGUUGUCCGGAUUUACUGGGCGUAAAGAGCGCGCAGGCGGUCGUGCAAGUCGCGUGUGAAAGCCCCCGGCUCAACUGGGGAGGGUCACGCGAUACUGCUCGACUCGAAGGCAGGAGAGGGAAGUGGAAUUCCCGGUGUAGUGGUGAAAUGCGUAGAUAUCGGGAGGAACACCAGUGGCGAAGGCGGUUGCCUGGAGCUUUGCUGAUGCUGAUGCGCGAAAGCGUGGGGAGCGAUCCGG